rnacentral:tRNA from 1 species
GCGGAUAUGGUGAAAUUGGUAGACACGCCAGAUUUAGGUUCUGGUGGCGUGAGCCUUGGGGGUUCAAGUCCCUUUAUCCGCACCA